rnacentral:rRNA from 1 species
AGUUGAGUGCCGGAUAGUGGCGGACGGGUGAGUAACACGUGGGSAACCUGCCCUACAGCCUGGGAUACCAUCGGGAAACUGAUGUUAAUACCGGAUACGCUCUUUUGAUCGCAUGAUCUAAGGAGGAAAGAUUUAUCGCUGUAGGAUGGGCCCGCGGUCCAUUAGCUAGUUGGUAGGGUAACGGCCUACCAAGGCGACGAUGGAUAGCUGGUCUGAGAGGACGAUCAGCCACACUGGGACUGAGACACGGCCCAGACUCCUACGGGAGGCAGCAGUGGGGAAUAUUGCGCAAUGGGGGCAACCCUGACGCAGCAAUGCCGCGUGAAGGAUGAAGGCUUUCGGGUCGUAAACUUCUGUCUAGAGGGAUGAAAUUUUGACAGUACCUCUGGAGGAAGCCCCGGCUAACUACGUGCCAGCAGCCGCGGUAAUACGUAGGGGGCAAGCGUUGUCCGGAAUCACUGGGCGUAAAGCGCGCGUAGGUGGUCUAGUAAGUCAGAUGUUAAAAUGCGGGGCUCAACCCCGUAAUGCAUUUGAAACUGCUGGACUUGAGGACAGGAGAGGAAAGUGGAAUUCCUAGUGUAGCGGUGAAAUGCGUAGAUAUUAGGAGGAACACCAGUGGCGAAGGCGACUUUCUGGACUGUACCUGACACUGAGGUGCG